rnacentral:lncRNA from 1 species
GGUCAAUUGACAAUUUUGGUCAAUUUGACUUAAUUGAAGAUCUUACUUUGCUGAACAUUAUUGCUGUUUACAGUUUAUUUCUAUCUAUAAUUAUAUUCAAGAUAAUAAACAAAAACAGCAAAAUUUCUUUAAAAUUACCAAUUCAGGGGCAGUAACCCAACAACAGGUUGUCUGAUUCAUCUGAAAAUUUCAGGGCAGAUAGAUCUUGACCUGAUAAACAAUAUUAUCCCAUGUCAGAUUUGCUCUAAAUGCUUUGGUUUUUGAGUUAUAAGCCAAAAACUGCAUUUGACCCCUAUGUUUUAUUUUUAGCAAUGGCGACCAUGUUUGUUGAUAGAUCACAACUUCGGAUACAAUUUACAAACUAGAUACCCUAAGGAACAUUCAGUUAAAGUUUGGAAGUAUUCGCCCAGUAGUUUCAGAGGAGAAGAUUUUUGUAAAAGAUUACUAAGAUUUACGAAAAAUGGUUAAAAAUUGACUAUAAAGGGCAAUAACUCCUAAAGGGGUCAACUGACCAUUUCCGUCAUGUUGACUUAUUUGUAAAUCUUACUUUGCUGAACAUUAUUCCUGUUUACAGUUUAUCUCUAUCUAUAAUAAUAUUCAAGAUAAUAACCAAAAACAGCAAAAUUUCCUUAAAAUUACCAAUUCAGGGGCAGCAACCCAACAACAGGUUGUCUGAUUCAUCUGAAAAUUUCAGGACAGAUAGAUCUUGACCUGAUAAACAAUAUUACCCCCAUGUCAGAUUUGCUCUAAAUGCUUUGGUUUUUGAGUUAUAAGCCAAAAACUGCAUUUGACCCCUAUGUUCUAUUUUUAGCAAUGGCGACCAUGUUUGUUGAUAGAUCAUAACUUCGGAUACAAUUUACAAACUAGAUACCCUAAGGAACAUUCAAUUAAAGUUUGGAAGUAUUUGGCCCAGUAGUUUCAGAGGAGAAGAUUUUUGUAAAAAGAUUACUAAGAUUUACGAAAAAUGGUUAAAAAUUGACUAUAAAGGGCAAUAACUCCUAAAGGGGUCAACUGACCAUUUCCGUCAUGUUGACUUAUUUGUAAAUCUUACUUUGCUGAACAUUAUUCCUGUUUACAGUUUAUCUCUAUCUAUAAUAAUAUUUCAAGAUAAUAACCAAAAACAGCAAAAUUUCCUUAAAAUUACCAAUUCAGGGGCAGCAACCCAACAACAGGUUGUCUGAUUCAUCUGAAAAUGUCAGGGCAGAUAGAUCUUGACCUGAUAAACA